CUGACUGCUAUCGGAUGAUACUAAGCCAUGCGAGUCUUUGCAGUAAUGCAAGGCAUACGGCUCAGUAACACGUAGUCAACCUACCCUAUGGACGAGAAUAAUCUCGGGAAACUGAGCAUAAUUCUUGAUAGAUCAUAAUGCCUGGAAUGGUUUAUGGUUAAAAUGAUUCGUCGCCAUAGGAUGGGACUGCGGCCUAUCAGCUUGUUGGUGAGGUAAUGGCCCACCAAGGCGAUUACAGGUACGGGCUCUGAGAGGAGAAGCCCGGAGAUGGGUACUGAGACACGGACCCAGGCCCUAUGGGGCGCAGCAGGCGAGAAAACUUUGCAAUGUGCGAAAGCACGACAAGGUUAAUCCGAGUGAUUUCUGCUAAAGAAAUCUUUUGCCAGUCAUAAAACCACUGGUGAAUAAGGGGUGGGCAAGUUCUGGUGUCAGCCGCCGCGGUAAAACCAGCACCUCAAGUGGUCAGGAUGAUUAUUGGGCCUAAAGCAUCCGUAGCCGGCUUUGUUAGUUUUCGGUUAAAUCCAUGUGUUCAACGCAUGGGCUGCCGAAAAUACUGCAUAGCUAGGGAGUGGGAGAGGUAGACGGUACUCAGUAGGAAGGGGUAAAAUCCUUUGAUCUAUUGAUGACCACCUGUGGCGAAGGCGGUCUACCAGAACACGUUCGACGGUGAGGGAUGAAAGCUGGGGGAGCAAACCGGAUUAGAUACCCGGGUAGUCCCAGCUGUAAACGAUGCAGACUCGAUGAUGCAUUGGCAUAAUAGCCAGUGCAGUGUCGCAGGGAAGCCGUUAAGUCUGCCGCCUGGGGAGUACGUACGCAAGUAUGAAACUUAAAGGAUUGGCGGGGGAGCACCACAAGGGGUGAAGCCUGCGGUUCA
rnacentral:rRNA from 1 species